UGCGGGAGCGUCACUGCCGACCGGGAAGGGAAAGGCAAUCUUGGGGGCCUCCGGAGUCCGGAGGAUCACUCUGAUGGGUCUCCUGGCCUCAGUGAUGGAAUUAAGAUGACUUCUAUCUCUGAAUCCAAGGGUGACUGAAAGCCGCAAGCUGCAGAAAGGACAAGAGGCAUCACCUAUGUGGAUAAAGACAGCAUCCUGAGUUGAUGGAGAAAUGGCAUAGAAGGAACCAGGUCCUUUGAUGACAUCAUGGA
rnacentral:lncRNA from 1 species